GUAUUAAUUUUUCACCUUGCAUAUGAUGACAAGAUGACAAAUAAUAAGCCAUUCAAAAAUACUUGAAGUAGGUAAUGAAAAACAUAGACCGAUUCACUUAGUGACAACGGACUACACAAAGUGCACAAAGUGUUGAAAUUUUUUGGAAAGAGGUGUGCACAUAUUUAUCUGAUAAUAAGAUCAGCAACAACCUCUUCAACAUUCAAUAAUGAUCCUUCCGCAGGUUCACCUACGGAAA
rnacentral:misc_RNA from 1 species